CCGUUCCCUUUCCGAACACGGCCGUGAAACGCCCCUGCGCCCAUGGUACUUCGUCUUAAGACGCGGGAGAGUAGGUCGCUGCCAGGU
rnacentral:rRNA from 1 species